CAGCGGACUGCUCGAGCUG
rnacentral:sRNA from 1 species